AAAGCGUGCGCAGGCGGUUCGUUAAGACAGAUGUGAAAUCCCCGGGCUUAACCUGGGAACUGCAUUUGUGACUGGCGAGCUAGAGUAUGGCAGAGGGGGGUAGAAUUCCACGUGUAGCAGUGAAAUGCGUAGAGAUGUGGAGGAAUACCGAUGGCGAAGGCAGCCCCCUGGGCCAAUACUGACGCUCAUGCACGAAAGCGUGGGGAGCAAACAGGAUUAGAUACCCCAGU
rnacentral:rRNA from 1 species